rnacentral:rRNA from 1 species
AUUGAACGCUGGCGGCAUGCUUUACACAUGCAAGUCGAACGGUAACAGGCCGCAAGGUGCUGACGAGUGGCGAACGGGUGAGUAAUGCAUCGGAACGUGCCCAGCCGUGGGGGAUAACGCAGCGAAAGCUGCGCUAAUACCGCAUACGAUCUAUGGAUGAAAGCGGGGGACCGAAAGGCCUCGCGCGAUUGGAGCGGCCGAUGUCAGAGUAGGUAGUUGGUGGGGUAAAGGCUCACCAAGCCGACGAUCUGUAGCUGGUCGGAGAGGACGACCAGCCACACUGGGACUGAGACACGGCCCAGACUCCCACGGGAGGCAGCAGUGGGGAAUUUUGGACAAUGGGCGCAAGCCUGAUCCAGCAAUGCCGCGUGCAGGAAGAAGGCCUUCGGGUUGUAAACUGCUUUUGUACGGAACGAAAAGGCUCUGGUUAAUACCUGGGGCUCAUGACGGUACCGUAAGAAUAAGCACCGGCUAACUACGUGCCAGCCGCCGCCGUAACAC